GUCGAACGCUGGCGGCGUGCCUAAUACAUGCAAGUCGAACGCAGUUGCGAACGGGUGAGUAACGCGUAGGUCACUGGCUGGUAGCGGGGGAUAACUAUUGGAGACGAUAGCUAAUACCGCAUACUACCAGAUGGACCUGCGUUGUAUUAGCUAGUUGGUGAGGUAACGGCUCACCAAGGCAACGAUACAUAUACGACCUGAGUGGGUGAGCGGCCACACUGGGACUUAGAAACGGCCCAGACUCCUACGGGAGGCAGCAGGUGGGAAUCUUCGGCAAUGGGGGGAACCCUGAACGAGCAACUCCGGGGGAGUGAAGAAGGUUCUCGGAGCGUAAAGGUCUGUUGUGAAGGAAGCGUUACUUAACCAGAAAGGGACGGCUAACUACGUGCCAGCAGCCGCGGUAAUAC
rnacentral:rRNA from 1 species